rnacentral:lncRNA from 1 species
UGGAAGGCUCUAGGCGAAUAAAGAUGGAAUGACUUCUAAUUUUUAGGUCCGUAUGAUUUGAAAUACUUGCACACAAACCACGCAAAACCGUUCCUAGAAAUCUCGGUCGAAAAAAGGACGUUUAGUAAUUCUAAAAGGGACUACAGGAUGAAAAACAAUAGUUUUGGCAGUUAAAGUUUGAGAUUCGAUGGUGCCGUAGAUCCGUUUGGUCAUCAGGUGUUACGAGCCACACCCAUGUCUAGCUAGAGUAGUGUGCUAGGUUCAGACUAGAGAAGAAACGGGGAACAAAGUGAUUAAAGAAUGAUCAUACCGAGGGAAUUCACUCAGAACUAACAAGAAUGAUAACGUGCUCCGACUGGAGCGGUUUAGGAACUGCUGGAAGGCUCUAGGGGAAUAAAGAUGGAAUGACUUCUAAUUUUUACGUCCGUAUGAUUUGAAAUACAUGCACACAAACCACGCAAAAGCGUUCCUGGAAAUCUCAGCCUAAAAAAGGACGUUUAGUAAUUCUAAAAGGGACUACAGGAUGAAAAAUAAUAGUUUGGGCAGUUAAAAUUUGAGAUUCGACGCUGCCGUAGAUCCGUUUGGUCAUCAGGUCUUACGAGCCACACCCAUGUCUAGCUAGAAUAGUGUGUUAGGCUCAGGCUAGAGAAGAAACGGGGAACAAACUGAUGAAAGAAUGAUCAUACCGAGGGAAUUCACUCAGAACUAACAAGAAUGAUAACGUGCUCCGACUGGAGCAGUUUAGAAACUCCUGGAAGGCUCUAGGGGAAUAAAGAUGGAAUGACUUCAAAGUUUUAGGUCCGUAUGAUUUGAAAUACUUGCACACAAACCGCGUGAAAGCGUUCCUGGAAAUCUCAACCCAAAAAAGGGCGUUUAGUAAUUCUAAAAGGGACUACAGGAUGUAAAACAAUAGUUUUGGCAGUUAAAGUUUGAGAUUCGAUGGUGCCGUAGAUCCGUUUGGUCAUCAGGUGUAACGAGCCACACCCAUGUCUAGCUAGAGUAGUGUGCUAGGCUCAGACUAGAGAAGAAACGGGGAACAAAGUGAUGAAAGAAUGAUCAUACCGAGGGAAUUCACUCAUAACUAACAAGAAUGAUAACGUGCUCUGACUUGAGCGGUUUAGGAACUGCUGGAAGGCUAUAGGGGAAUAAAGAUGGAAUGACUUCAAAUUUUUAGGUCCGUAUGAUCUGAAAUACUUGCACACAAACCGCGAGAAAGCGUUCCUGGAAAUCUCAACCCAAAAAAGGACGUUUAGUAAUUCUAAAAGGGACUACAGGAUGAAAAACAAUAGUUCUGGCAGUUAUUGUUUGAGAUUCGAUAAUCUCGUAGAUCCGUUUGGUCAUCAGGUGUAACGAGCCACACCCAUGUCUAGCUAGAGUAGUGUGCUAGGCUCAGACUAGAGAAGAAACGGGGAACAAACUGAUGAAAGAAUGAUCAUACCGAGGGAAUUCACUUAGAACUAACAAGAAUGAUAACGUGCUCCGACUGGAGCGGUUUAGGAACUGCUGGAAGGCUCUAGGGGAAUAAAGAAGGAACGACUUCUAAUUUUUAGGUCCGUAUGAUUUGAAAUAUGUGCACACAAACCACGAGAAAGCGUUCCUAGAAAUCUCGGCCCAAAAGAGGACGUUUAGUAUUCUAAAAGGGACUACAGAAUGAAAAACAAUAGUUUUGGCAGUUAAAGUUUGAGAUUUGACGGUGCCGUAGAUCUGUUUGGUCAUCAGGGGUUACGAGCCACACCCAUGUCUAGCUAGAAUAGUGUGUUAGGCUCAGGCUAGAAAAGAAACGGGGAACAAAGUGAUGAAAGAAUGAUCAUACCGAGGGAAUUCACUCAGAACUAACAAGAAUGAUAACAUGCUCCGACUGGAGCGGUUUAGGAACUGCUGGAAGGCUCUAGGGGAAUAAAGAUGGAAUGACUUCUAAUUUUUAGGUCCGUAUGAUUUGAAAUACUUGCACACAAACCGCGCGAAAGCGUUCCUGGAAAUCUCAGCCCAAAAAAGGACGUUUAGUAAUUCUAAAAGGGACUACAGGAUGAAAAACAAUAGUUUUGGCAGUUAAAGUAUGAGAUUCAACGGUGCCGUAGAUCCGUUUGGUCAUUAGGUGUUACGAGCCACACCCAUGUCUAGCUAGAAUAGUGUGCUAGGCUCAGGCUAGAGAAGAAACGGGGAACAAACUGAUGAAAGAAUGAUCAAACCGAGGGAAUUCACUCAGAACUAACAAUAAUGAUAACGUGCUCCGACUGGAGCGGUUUAGGAACUGCUGGAAGUCUCUAGGGGAAUAAAGAUGGAAUGACUUCUAAUUUUUACGUUCGUAUGAUUUGAAAAACUUGCCCAUAAACCGCGCGAAAGUGUUCCUGGAAAUCUCAGCCCAAAAAAGGACGUUUAGUAAUUUUAAAAGGGACUACACGAUGAAAAACAAUAGUUUUGGCAGGUAAAGUUUGAGAUUCGACAGUGCCGUAGAUCCGUUUGGUCAUCAGGUGUUACGAGCCACACCCAUGUCUAGCUAGAAUAGUAUGUUACGCUCAGGUUAGAGAAGAAACGGGGAACAAACUGAUGAAAGAUGAUCAUACCAAGGGAAUUCACUCAGAACUAACAAGAAUGAUAACGUGCUCCGACUGGAGCGGUUUAGGAACUGCUGGAAGGCUCUAGGGGAAUAAAGAUGGAAUGACUUCUAAUUUUUACGUCUGUAUGAUUUGAAAUACUUGCACACAAACAACGCAAAAGCAUUCCUGGAAAUCUCAUCCUAAAAAAGGACGUUUAGUAAUUCUAAAAGGGACUACAGGAUGAAAAAUAAUAGUUUGGGAAGUUAAAAUUUGAGAUUCGAUAGUGCCGUAGAUCCGUUUGGUCAUCAGGUGUUAGGAGCCACACCCAUGUCUAGCUAGAAUAGUGUGUUAGGCUCAGGCUAGAGAAGAAACAGGGAACAAACUGAUGAAAGAAUGAUCAUACCGAGGGAAUUCACUCAGAACUAGCAAGAAUGAUAACGUGCUCCGACUGGAGCAGUUUUGAAACUGCUGGAAGGCUCUAGGGGAAUAAUGAUGGAAUGACUUCUAAGUUUUUGGUCCGUAUGAUUUGAAAUACGUGCACACAAACCCAGAGAAAGUGUUCUUGGAAAUCUCGGCCGAAAAAAGGAUGUUUAAUAAUUCUAAAAGGGACUACAGGAUGAAAAACAAUAGUUUUGGCAGUUAAAGUUUGUGAUUCGAUGGUGCUGUAGAUCUGUUUGGUCAUCAGGUGUUAUGAGCCACACCCAUGUCUAGCUAGAACAGUGUGUUAGGCUCAGGCUAGAGCAGAAACGGGGAACAAACUUAUGAAAGAAUGAUCAUACCGAGGGAAUUCACUCAGAACUAACAAGAAUGAUAACGUGCUCCGACUGGAGAGGUUUAGGAACUGCUGGAAGGCUCUAGGGGAAUAAAGAUGGAAUGACUUCAAAUUUUUAGGUCUGUAUGAUCUGAAAUACUUGCACACAAACCGCGAGAAAGCGUUCCUGGAAAUCUCAGCCCAAAAAAGGACGUUUAGUGAUUCUAAAAGGGACUACGGGAUAAAAAACAAUAGUUUUGGCAGUUAAAGUUUGAGAUUCGAUAAUGCCGUAGAUCCGUUUGGUCAUCAGGUGUAACGAGCCACACCCAUGUCUAGCUAGAGUAGUGUGCUAGGCUCAUACUAGAGAAGAAAUGGGGAACAAACUGAUGAAAGAAUGAUCAUACCGAGGGAGUUCACUCAAAACUAACAUGAAUGAUAACGUGCUCCGACUGGAGCGGUUUAGGAACUGCUGGAAGGCUCUAGGGGAAUAAAGAUGGAAUGACUUCUAAUUUUUAGGUCCGUAUGAUUUGAAAUACAUGCACACAAACCCCAAGAAAGCGUUCCUGGAAAUCUCGCCCCGAAAAACGACGUUUAGUAAUUCUAAAAGGGACUAUAGGAUGAAAAACAAUAGUUUUGGCAGUUAAAGUUUGAGAUUUGACGGUGCCGUAGAUCUGUUUGGUCAUCAGGUGUUACGAGCCACACCCAUUUCUAGCUAGAAUAGUGUGUUAGGCUCAGGCUAGAAAAGAAACGGGGAACAAAGUGAUGAAAGAAUGAUCAUACCGAGGGAAUUCACUCAGAACUAACAAGAAUGAUAACAUGGUCCGACUGGAGCGGUUUAGGAACUGCUGGAAGGCUCUAGGGGAAUAAAGAUGGAAUGACUUCUAACUUUUAGGUCCGUAUGAUUUGAAUUACUUGCACACAAACCGCGCGAAAGCGUUCCUGGAAAUCUCAGCCCAAAAAAGGACGUUUAGUAAUUCUAAAAGGGACUACAGGAUGAAAAACAAUAGUUUUGGCAGUUAAAGUUUGAGAUUCGACGGUGCCGUAGAUCCGUUUGGUCAGCAGGUGUUACGAGCCACACCCAUGUCUAGCUAGAGUAGUGUGCUAGGUUCAGACUAGAGAAGAAAUGUUGGGGAACGUAGCAGAAAUUCAAAAUUUUCCUACGUGUCACCAAGAUCUAUCUAUGGAGAGACUAGCAACGAGGGAAGGAGAGUGCAUCUACAUACCCUUGUAGAUCGCUAAGCGGAAGCGUUCAAGUGAACGGGGUUGAUGGAGUCGUACUCGUCGUGAUUCAGCUCACCGAUGAUCCUAGUGCCGAACGGACGGCACCUCCGCGUUCAACACACGUACAGCUCGACGAUGUCUCCCACGCCUUGAUCCAGCAAGGAGAGAGGGAGAGGUUGAGGAAGACUCCAUCCAGCAGAAGCACAACGGCGUGGUGGUGAUGGAGGAGCAUGGCAAUCCUGCAGGGCUUCGCCAAGCACCUAUGGGAGAGGAGGAGGUGUCACGGGAGGGAGGGAGGCGCCAAGGGCUCAGGUAUAGAUGCCCUCCCUCCCCUCCACUAUAUAUAGGGGCAAGGGAGAGGGGGGAGGCGCAGCCUUGCCCCUUCCUCCAAGGAAGGGGUGCGGCUAAGAGGGGGGGAGGAGUCCAUCCUCCCCAAGGCACCUCGGAGGUGCCUUCCCCCUUUAGGACUCUCCCCUUUUUCCUAUAUCUUGGCGCAUGGGCCUCUAGGGGCUGGUUCCCUUGGCCCAUGUAGGCCCAGGCGCACCCCCUACAGCCCAUGUGGCCCCCCGGGGCAGGUGGCCCCACCUGGUGGGCCCCCGGGACCCUUCCGGUGGUCCCGGUACAAUACCGAUGACCCCGAAACUUGUCCCGAUGGCCGAAACAGGACUUCCUAUAUAUAAAUCUUUACCUCCGGACAAUUCCGGAACUCCUCGUGACGUCCGGGAUCUCAUCCGGGACUCCGAACAACAUUCGGUAACCACAUACAAACUUCCUUUAUAACCCUAGCGUCAUCGAACCUUAAGUGUGUAGACCCUACGGGUUCGGGAGACAUGUAGUCAUGACCGAGAUGUUCUCCGGUCAAUAACCAACAGCGGGAUCUGGAUACCCAUGUUGGCUCCCACAUGUUCCACGAUGAUCUCAUCGGAUGAACCACGAUGUCAAGGACUCAAUCAAUCCCGUAUACAAUUCCCUUUGUCUAGCGGUAUGGUACUUGCCCGAGAUUCGAUCGUCGGUAUACCGAUACCUUGUUCAAUCUCGUUACCGGCAAGUCUCUUUACUCAUUUCGUAACACAUCAUCCCGUGAUCAACCCCUUGGUCACAUUGUGCACAUUAUGAUGAUGUCCUACCGAGUGGGCCCAGAGAUACCUCUCCGUUUACACGGAGUGACAAAAUCCCAAUCUCGAUUCGUGCCAACCCAACAGACACUUUCAGAGAUACCCGUAGUGUACCUUUACAGCCACCCAGUUACGUUGUGACGUUUGGCACACCCAAAGCACUCCUACAGUAUCCGGGAGUUGCACAAUCUCAUGGUCUAAGGAAAUGAUACUUGACAUUAGAAAAGCUUUAGCAUACGAACUACAUGAUCUUGUGCUAGGCUUAGGAUUGGGUCUUGUCCAUCACAUCAUUCUCCUAAUGAUGUGAUCCCGUUAUCAACGACAUCCAAUGUCCAUGGUCAGGAAACCGUAACCAUCUAUUGAUUAACGAGCUAGUCAACUAGAGGCUUACUAGGGACAUGGUGUUGUCUAUGUAUCCACACAUGUAUCUAAGUUUCCUAUCAAUACAAUUCUAGCAUGGAUAAUAAACGAUUAUCAUGAACAAGGAAAUAUAAUAAUAAUCAAUUUAUUAUUGCCUCUAGGGCAUAUUUCCAACAGUCUCCCACUUGCACUAGAGUCAAUAAUCUAGUUCACAUCGAUAUGUGAUUAACACUCAAGGUCACAUUCCCAUGUGACUAACACCCAAGAGUUUACUAGAGUCAAUAAUCUAGUUCACAUUUACCAUGUGAUUAACACUUGAUGAGUUCUGGGUUUGAUCAUGUUAUGCUUGUGAGAGAGGUUAUAGUCAACGGGUCUGAACCUUUCAGAUCCGUGUGUGCUUUACAAAUCUCUAUGUCAUCUCCUAGAUGCAGCUACCACGUUCUAUUUGGAGCUAUUCCAAAUAACUGUUCUACUUGGAGCUAUUCUAAAUUGUUGCUCCAUUAUACGUAUCCGGUAUCUCUACUCAGAGCUAUCCGGAUAGGUGUUAAGCUUGCAUCGACGUAACCCUUUACGACGAACUCUUUUACCACCUCCAUAAUUGAGAAAAUUCCUUAGUCCACUAGUUACUAAGGAUAACUUUGACCGCUGUCCUGUGAUCCAUUCUUGGAUCACUCUUGUACCCCUUGACUGACUCAUGGUAAAGCACACUUCAGGUGCGGUACACAGCAUAGCAUACUGUAGAGCCUAUGUCUUAAGCAUAGGGGACGACCUUCGUUCCUUUCUCUCUAUUCUGCCAUGGUCGAGCUUUAAGUCUUAACUUCAUACCUUACAACUCAGGCAAGAACUCCUUCUUUGACUGAUCCAUCUUGAACACCUUCAAGAUCACGUCAAGGCAUGUGCUCACGUCAAGAUCACGUCGGUAUACCGAUACCUUGUUCAAUCUCGUUACCGGCAAGUCUCUUUACUCGUUCCGUAACACAUCAUCCCGUGAUCAACCCCUUGGUCACAUUGUGCACAUUAUGAUGAUGUCCUACCGAGUGGGCCCAGAGAUACCUCUCCGUUUACACGGAGUGACAAAAUCCCAAUCUCGAUUCGUGCCAACCCAACAGACACUUUCAGAGAUACCCGUAGUGUACCUUUAUAGCCACCCAGUUACGUUGUGACGUUUGGCACACCCAAAGCACUCCUACGGUAUCCGGGAGUUGCACAAUCUCAUGGUCUAAGGAAAUGAUACUUGACAUUAGAAAAGCUUUAGCAUACGAACUACAUGAUCUUGUGCUAGGCUUAGGAUUGGGUCUUGUCCAUCACAUCAUUCUCCUAAUGAUGUGAUCCCGUUAUCAACGACAUCCAAUGUCCAUGGUCAGGAAACCGUAACCAUCUAUUGAUUAACGAGCCAGUCAACUAGAGGCUUACUAGGGACAUGGUGUUGUCUAUGUAUCCACACAUGUAUCUGAGUUUCCUAUCAAUACAAUUCUAGCAUGGAUAAUAAACGAUUAUCAUGAACAAGGAAAUAUAAUAAUAAUCAAUUUAUUAUUGCCUCUAGGGCAUAUUUCCAACAGUCUCCCACUUGCACUAGAGUCAAUAAUCUAGUUCACAUCACCAUGUGAUUAACACUGACAGGUCACAUCACCAUGUGACCAACAUCCAAAGAGUCUUGGGUUUGAUCAUGUUGCUUGUGAGAGAGGUUAUAGUCAACGGGUCUGAACCUUUCAGAUCCGUGUGUGCUUUACAAAUCUCUAUGUCAUCUCCUAGAUGCAGCUACCACGUUCUAUUUGGAGCUAUUCCAAAUAACUGUUCUACUUGGAGCUAUUCUAAAUUGUUGCUCCAUUAUACGUAUCCGGUAUCUCUACUCAGAGCUAUCCGGAUAGGUGUUAAGCUUGCAUCGACGUAACCCUUUACGACGAACUCUUUUACCACCUCCAUAAUUGAGAAAAUUCCUUAGUCCACUAGUUACUAAGGAUAACUUUGACCGCUGUCCUGCGAUCCAUUCUUGGAUCACCCUUGUACCCCUUGACUGACUCAUGGUAAAGCACACUUCAGGUGCGGUACACAGCAUAGCAUACUGUAGAGCCUAUGUCUUAAGCAUAGGGGAUGACCUUCGUUCCUUUCUCUCUAUUCUGCCAUGGUCGAGCUUUAAGUCUUAACUUCAUACCUUACAACUCAGGCAAGAACUCCUUCUUUGACUGGUCCAUCUUGAACACCUUCAAGAUCAUGUCAAGGUAUGUGCUCAUUUGAAAGUACUAUUAAGCGUUUUGAUCUAUCCUUAUAGAUCUUGAUGCUCAAUGUUCAAGUAGCUUAAUCCAGGUUUUCCAUUGAAAACACUUUCCAAAUAACCCUAUAUGCUUUCCAGAAAUUCUACGUCAUUUCUGAUCAUUAAUAUGUCAACAACAUAUAAUCAUCAGAAAUUCUAUAGUGCUCCCACUCACUUCUUUGGAAAUACAAGUUUCUCAUAAACUUUGUAUACACCCAAAAUCUUUGAUCAUCAUCAAAGCAUACAUUCCAACUCCGAGAUGCUCACUCCAGUCCUCAGAAGGAUUGCUGGAGCUUUGCAUACUUAUUAGCAUAUUUCAGGAUAGACAAAACCUUCCAGUUGUAUCACAUACAACCUUUCCUCAAGAAUCGUCGACGAAACAAUGUUUUGACAUCCUAUCUGCAAGAUUUCAUAAAUAAUGCAGUAAUUGUUAAUAUAAUUCCAACAGACUCUUAGCAUCGCUACGAGUGAGAAAGUCUCAUUGUAGUCAACUCCUUGAACUUGUCAAAAAACAUCUUAACGACAAGUCGAGCUUUCUCAAUGGUGACACUUACCAUCAUUGUCUGUCUUCCUUUCAAAAUCCAUAUGUACCUAACAGCCUUACGACCAUCAAGUAGUUCUUCCAAAGUCUACACUUUGUUUUCAUACAUGGAUCCUCUCUCGGGUUUUAUGGCCAUGAGCCAUUUAUCGGAAUCCGGGCCCACCAUUGCUUCUCCAUAGCUCGUAGGUUCAUUGUUGUCUAGCAACAUGACUUCCAAGACAGGAUUACUGUACCACUCUGAAGUAGUACGUAUCCUUGUCACCCUACGAGGUUUGGGAGUGACUUGAUCUGAAGUUUCAUGAUCACUAUCAUAAGCUUCUACUUCAAUUGGUGUAGGUGCCACAGGAACAACUUCCUGUGCCCUGCUACACACUGGUUGAAGUGAUGGUUCAAUAACCUCAUCAAGUCUCCACCAUCCUCCCACUCAAUUCUUUCGAGAGAAACCUUUCCUCGAGAAAGGACCCAAUUCUAGAAACAAUUCAUAUUGCUUUCGGAUCUGAAUUAGGAAGUAUACCCAACUGUUUUGGGUGUCCUAUGAAGAUGUACUUUAUCCGCUUUGGUUUCGAGCUUAAUCCUGAAACUUUUUCACAUAAGUGUCGCAGCCCCAAACCUUUAAGAAACGACAACUUAGGUUUCUCUAAACCAUAAUUCAUACGGUGUCAUCUCAUCGGAAUUACGUGGUGCCCUAUUUAAAGUGAAUGUGGUUGUCUUUAAUGCCUAACCCAUAAACUAUCGUGGCAGUUCGAUAAGAGACAUCAUGGUAUGCAUCAUAUCCAAUAGGGUGCAACUAUGAUGUUCGGACACACCAUCACACUAUGGUGUUCCAGGCGGUAUUAAUUGUGAAACAAUUUCCACAAUGUCUUAAUUGUGUGCCAAAACUCGUAACUCAGAUACUCAUCUCUAUGAUCAUAUCAUAGACAUUUUAUCCUCUUGUCACAAUGAUCUUCUACUUCACUCUGAAAUUACUUGAACCAUUCAACAAUUCAGACUUGUGUUUCAUCAAGUAAAUAUUCUCAACAUCUACUCGAAUCAUCUGUGAAGUAAGAACAUAACGAUAUUCACUGCAUGCCUCAGCACUCAUUGGACUGCACACAUCAAAAUGUGUUACUUCCAACAAGUUGCUAUCUUGUUCCAUCUUACUGAAAACGAGGCUUUUCAGUCAUCUUGCCCAUGUGGUAUGAUUUGCAUGUCCCAAGUGAUUCAAAAAUCAAGUGAGUCAAAACGGUCCAUUUGCAUGGAGUUUCUUCAUGCAUAUACACCAAUAGACAUGGUUCGCAUGUCUCAAACUUUUCAAAAACGAGUGAGCCCAAAGAUCCAUCAAUAUGGAGCUUCUUCAUGCGUUUUAUACCGAUAUGACUUACGUGGUAGUGCCACAAGUAGGUGGUACUAUCAUUACUAUCUUUUGGCAUGAACAUGUGUAUCACUACGAUCGAGAUUUAAUAAACCAUUCAUUUUAGGUGUAAGACCAUUGAAGGUAUUAUUCAAAUAAACAGAGUAACCAUUAUUCUCCUUAAAUGAAUAACCGUAUUGCGAUAGACGUAAUCCAAUCAUGUCUAUGCUCAACGCAAACACCAAAUAACAAUUAUUUAGGUUUAACACCAAUCUCUUUGGUAGAGGGAGCGUGCGAUGCUUGAUCAUAUCAAGCAUGGAAAAACUUACAACACAUAUCGUCAGCUCACCUUUAGCUAGUCUCUGUUUAUUCCGUAGCCUUUUGUUUCGAGUUACUAACACUUAGCAACCGAACUGGUAUCUAAUACCCUGGUGCUACUAGGAGUACUAGCAAAGUACACAUUAACACAAUGUAUAUCCAAUAUACUUCUAUCGACCUUGCCAGCCUUCUUAUCUACCAAGUAUCUAGGGUAAUUCUGCUCUAGUAGUUGUUCCCCUUAUUACAGAAGCACUUAGUCUCGGGUUUGGGUUUUACCUUGGGUUUCUUCACUAGAGCAGCAGCUGAUUUGCCGUUUCAUGAAGUAUCCCUUCUUGCCCUUGCCCUUCUUGAAACUAGUGGUUCCACCAACCAUCAACAAUUGAUGCUCCUUCUUGAUUUCUACUUUCGCGGUGUCAAACAUCGCGAAUACCUCAAGGAUCAUCAUAUCUAUCCCUGAUAUGUUAUAGUUCAUCAUGAAGCUCUAACAGCUUGGUGGCAAUGACUUUGGAGAACCAUCACUAUCUCAUCUGGAAGAUCAACUCCCACUCGAUUCAAGCGAUUGUUGUACUCAGACAAUCUGAGCACAAGCUCAACGAUUGAGCUUUUCUCCCUUAGUUUGCAGGUUAAGAAAGUCAUCGGAGGUCUUAUACCUCUUGACAUGGGCACGAGCCUGAAAUCCCAAUUUCAGCCCUCAAAACAUCUCAUAUGUUUCGCGAUGUUUCAAAAACGUCUUUGGUGCCUCAACUCUAAACCGUUUAACUGAACUAUCACGUAGUUAUCAAAACGUGUAUGUCAGAUGUUCGCAACAACCACAGACAACGUUCGAGGUUCAGCACACUGAGCGGUGCAUUAAGGACAUAAGCCUUCUAUGAAGCAAUGAGGACAAUCCUCAGUUUACGGACCUAGUCCGCAUAAUUGCUACUAUCAACUUUCAACUAAUUUUUCUCUAGGAACAUAUCUAAACAGUAGAACUAUAGCGUGAGCUACGACAUAAUUUGCAAAAACCUUUUGACUAUGUUCAGGAUAAUUAAGUUCAUCUUAUGAACUCCCACUCAGAUAGACAUCCCUCUAGUCAUCUAAGUGAUUACAUGAUCCGAGUCAAACUAGGCCGUGUCCGAUCAUCACGUGAGACGGACUAGUCAUCAUCGGUGAACAUCUUCAUGUUGAUCGUAUCUUCUAUACGACUCAUGUUCGACCUUUCGGUCUUCGUGUUCCGAGGCCAUGUAUGUACAUGCUAGGCUCGUCAAGUUAACCCUAAGUGUUUCGCGUGUGUAAAUCUGUCUUACACCCGUUGUAUGUGAACGUUAGAAUCUAACACCCGAUCAUCACGUGGUGCUUCGAAACACGAACUGUCGCAACGGUGCACAGUUAGGGGAGAACACUUCUUGAAAUUGUUGUAAGGGAUCAUCUUAUUUACUACCGUCGUUCUAAGCAAAUAAGAUGUAUAAACAUGAUAAACAUCACAUGCAAUCAAAUAGUGACAUGAUAUGGCCAUCAUCACUUUGCUCCUUUUGAUCUCCAUCUUCGGGGCUCCAUGAUCAUCAUCGUCACCGGCAUGACACCAUGAUCUCCAUCAUCAUGAUCUCCAUCAUCGUGUCUUCAUGAAGUUGCCUCGCCAACUAUUACUUCUACUACUAUGGCUAACGGUUAGCAAUAAAGUAAAGUAAUUACAUGACGUUUAAGUUGACACGCAGGUCACAAAUGAAUAAAGACAACUCCUAUGGCUCCUGCCGGUUGUCAUACUCAUCGACAUGCAAGUCGUGAUUCCUAUUACAAGAACAUGAUCAAUCUCAUACAUCACAUAUAUCAUUCAUCACAUCCUUUUUGGCCAUAUCACAUCACAUAGCAUACCCUGCAAAAACAAGUUAGACGUCCUCUAAUUGUUGUUUGCAUGUUUUACGUGGCUGCUAUGGGUUUCUAGCAAGAACGUUUCUUACCUACGCAUGAACAACAACGUGAUAUGCCAAUUGCUAUUUACCCUUCAUAAGGACCCUUUUCAUCGAAUCCGAUCCGACUAAAGUGGGAGAGACAGACACCCGCCAGCCACCUUAUGCAACUAGUGCAUGUUUGUCGGUGGAACCGGUCUCACGUAAGCGUACGUGUAAGGUUGGUCCGGGCCGCUUCAUCCCACGAUGCCGCCGAAUCAAGAUAAGACUAGUAACGGCAAGCAUAUUGAACAAUAUCAACGCCCACAACUACUUUGUGUUCUACUCGUGCAAAGAAUCUACGCAAUAGACCUAGCUCAUGAUGCCACUGUUGGGGAACGUAGCAGAAAUUCAAAAUUUUCCUACGUGUCACCAAGAUCUAUCUAUGGAGAUACUAGCAACGAGGGAAGGAGAGUGCAUCUACAUACCCUUGUAGAUCGCUAAGCGGAAGCGUUCAAGUGAACGGGGUUGAUGGAGUCGUACUCGUCGUGAUUCAGAUCACCGAUGAUCCUAGUGCCGAACGGACGGCACCUCCGCGUUCAACACACGUACAGCUCGACGAUGUCUCCCACGCCUUGAUCCAGCAAGGAGAGAGGGAGAGGUUGAGGAAGACUCCAUCCAGCAGCAGCACAACGGCGUGGUGGUGAUGGAGGAGCGUGGCAAUCCUGCAGGGCUUCGCCAAGCACCUACGGGAGAGGAGGAGGUGUCACGGGAGGGAGGGAGGCGCCAAGGGCUCAGGUAUAGAUGCCCUCCCUCCCCUCCACUAUAUAUAGGGGCAAGGGAGAGGGGGAGGCGCAUCCUUGCCCCUUCCUCCAAGGAAGGGGUGCGGCUAAGAGGGGGGGAGGAGUCCAUCCUCCCCAAGGCACCUCGGAGGUGCCUUCCCCCUUUAGGACUCUCCCCUUUUUCCUAUAUCUUGGCGCAUGGGCCUCUAGGGGCUGGUGCCCUUGGCCCAUGUAGGCCAAGGCGCACCCCCCUACAGCCCAUGUGGCCCCCCGGGGCAGGUGGCCCCACCCGGUGGGCCCCCGGGACCCUUCCGGUGGUCCCGGUACAAUACCGAUGACCCCGAAACUUGUCCCGAUGGCCGAAACAGGACUUCCUAUAUAUAAAUCUUUACCUCCGGACCAUUCCGGAACUCCUCGUGACGUCCGGGAUCUCAUCCGGGACUCCGAACAACAUUCGGUAACCACAUACAAACUUCCUUUAUAACCCUAGCGUCAUCGAACCUUAAGUGUGUAGACCCUACGGGUUCGGGAGACAUGUAGUCAUGACCGAGAUGUUCUCCGGUCAAUAACCAACAGCGGGAUCUGGAUACCCAUGUUGGCUCGCACAUGUUCCACGAUGAUCUCAUCGGAUGAACCACGAUGUCAAGGACUCAAUCAAUCCCGUAUACAAUUCCCUUUGUCUAGCGGUAUGGUACUUGCCCGAGAUUCGAUCGUCGGUAUACCGAUACCUUGUUCAAUCUCGUUACCGGCAAGCCUCUUUACUCGUUCCGUAACACAUCAUCCCGUGAUCAACCCCUUGGUCACAUUGUGCACAUUAUGAUGAUGUCCUACCGAGUGGGCCCAGAGAUACCUCUCCGUUUACACGGAGUGACAAAAUCCCAAUCUCGAUUCGUGCCAACCCAACAGACACUUUCAGAGAUACCCGUAGUGUACCUUUAUAGCCACCCAGUUACGUUGUGACGUUUGGCACACCCAAAGCACUCCUACGGUAUCCGGGAGUUGCACAAUCUCAUGGUCUAAGGAAAUGAUACUUGACAUUAGAAAAGCUUUAGCAUACGAACUACAUGAUCUUGUGCUAGGCUUAGNNNNNNNNNNUGAUCAACCCCUUGGUCACAUUGUGCACAUUAUGAUGAUGUCCUACCGAGUGGGCCCAGAGAUACCUCUCCGUUUACACGGAGUGACAAAAUCCCAAUCUCGAUUCGUGCCAACCCAACAGACAUUUUCAGAGAUACCCGUAGUGUACCUUUAUAGCCACCCAGUUACGUUGUGACGUUUGGCACACCCAAAGCACUCCUACGGUAUCCGGGAGUUGCACAAUCUCAUGGUCUAAGGAAAUGAUACUUGACAUUAGAAAAGCUUUAGCAUACGAACUACAUGAUCUUGUGCUAGGCUUAGGAUUGGGUCUUGUCCAUCACAUCAUUCUCCUAAUGAUGUGAUCCCGUUAUCAACGACAUCCAAUGUCCAUGGUCAGGAAACCGUAACCAUCUAUUGAUUAACGAGCUAGUCAACUAGAGGCUUACUAGGGACAUGGUGUUGUCUAUGUAUCCACACAUGUAUCUGAGUUUCCUAUCAAUACAAUUCUAGCAUGGAUAAUAAACGAUUAUCAUGAACAAGGAAAUAUAAUAAUAAUCAAUUUAUUAUUGCCUCUAGGGCAUAUUUCCAACAAGAAACGGGGAACAAACUGAUGAAAGAAUGAUCAUACCGAGGGAAUUCACUCAGAACUAACAAGAAUGAUAACGUGCUUUGACUGGAGCGGUUUAAAAACUGCUGGAAGGCUCUAGGGGAAUAAAGAUGGAAUGCCUUCAAAUUUCUAGGUCCGUAUGAUUUGAAAUACUUGCACACAAACCGCGCGAAAGCGUUCCUGGAAAUCUCAGCCCAAAAAAGGACGUUUAGUAAUUCUAAAAGGGACUACAGAAUGAAAAACAAUAGUUUUGGCAGUUAAAGUUUGAGAUUCGAUGGUGCCGUAGAUCCGUUUGGUCAUCAGGUGUAACGAGCCACACCCAUGUCUAGCUAGAGUAGUGUGCUAGGCUCAGGCUAGAGAAGAAACGGGGAACAAACUGAUGAAAGAAUGAUCAUACCGAGGGAAUUCACUCAGAACUAACAAGAAUGAUAACGUGCUCCGACUGGAGCGGUUUAGGAACUGCUGGAAGGCUCUAGGGGAAGAAAGAAGGAAUGACUUCUAAUUUUUAGGUCCGUAUGAUUUGAAAUACGUGCACACAAACCGCGCGAAAGCGUUCCUGGAAAUCUCAGCCCAAAAAAGGACGUUUAGUAUUCUAAAAGGGACUACAGAAUGAAAAACAAUAGUUUUGGCAGUUAAAGUUUGAGAUUCGACGGUGCCGUAGAUCCGUUUGGUCAUCAGGUGUUACGAGCCACACCCAUGUCUAGCUAGAAUAGUGUGCNNNNNNNNNNNNNNNNNNNNNNNNNCGUAUGAUUUGAAAUACGUGCACACAAACCGCGCGAAAGCGUUCCUGGAAAUCUCAGCCCAAAAAAGGACGUUUAGUAUUCUAAAAGGGACUACAGAAUGAAAAACAAUAGUUUUGGCAGUUAAAGUUUGAGAUUCGACGGUGCUGUAGAUCCGUUUGGUCAUCAGGUGUUACGAGCCACACCCAUGUCUAGCUAGAAUAGUGUGCUAGGCUCAGGCUAGAGAAGAAAAGGGGAACAAACUAAUGAAAGAAUGAUCAAUACGAGGGAAUUCACUCAGAACUAACAAUAAUGAUAACGUGCUCCGACUGGAGCGGUUUAGGAACUGCUGGAAGGCUCUAGGCGAAUAAAGAUGGAAUGACUUCUAAUUUUUACGUCCGUAUGAUUUGAAAUACUUGCACACAAACCACGCAAAAGCGUUCCUGGAAAUCUCGGCCUAAAAAGGACGUUUAGUAAUUCUAAAAGGGACUACAGGAUGAAAAAUAAUAGUUUGGGCAGUUAAAAUUUGAGAUUCGACGGUGCCGUAGAUCCGUUUGGUCAUCAGGUGUUACGAGCCACACCCAUGUCUAGCUAGAAUAGUGUGUUAGGCUCAGGCUAGAGAAGAAACGAGGAACAAACUGAUGAAAGAAUGAUCAUACCAAGGGAAUUCACUCAGAACUAACAAGAAUGAUAACGUGCUCCGACUGGAGCAGUUUAGAAACUGCUGGAAGGCUCUAGGGGAAUAAAGAUGGAAUGACUUCUGAUUUUUAGGUCCGUAUGAUUUGAAAUACGUGCACACAAACCCCGCGAAAGCGUUCCUGGAAAUCUCAGCCCAAAAAAGGACGUUUAGUAAUUCUAAAAGGGACUACAACAUGAAAAACAAUAGUUUUGGCAGUUAAAGUUUGAGAUUUCAUGGUGCCGUAGAUCUGUUUGGUCAUCAGGUGUUACGAGCCACACCCAUGUCUAGCUAGAAUAGUGUGUUAGGCUCAGGCUAGAAAAGAAACGGGAAACAAAGUGAUGAAAGAAUGACCAUACCGAGGGAAUUCACUCAGAACUAACAAGAAUGAUAACAUGCUCCGACUUGAGCGGUUUAGGAACUGCUGGAAGGCUCUAGGGGAAUAAAGAUGGAAUGACUUCUAAUGUUUAGGUCCGUAUGAUUUGAAAUACUUGCACAUAAACCGCACAAAAGCGUUCCUGGAAAUCUCAGCCCAAAAAAGGACGUUUAGUAAUUCUAAAAGGGACUACAGGAUGAAAAACAAUAGUUUUGGCAGUUAAAGUUUGAGAUUCGACGGUGCCGUAGAUCCGUUUGGUCAUCAGGUGUUACGAGCCACACCCAUGUCUAGCUAGAAUAGUGUGUUAGGCUCAGGCUAGAGAAGAAACUUGGAACAAACUGAUGAAAGAAUGAUCAAACCAACGGAAUUCACUCAGAACUAACAAUAAUGAUAACGUGCUCCGACUGGAGCAGUUUAGGAACUGCUGGAAGGCUCUAGGGGAAUAAAGAUGGAAUGACUUCUAAUUUUUAGGUCCGUAUGAUUUGAAAUACUUGCACGCAAACCGCGCGAAAGCGUUCCUGGAAAUAUCAGCCCAAAAAAGGACGUUUAGUAAUUCUAAAAGGGACUACAGGAUGAAAACAAUAGUUUUGGCAGUUAAAGUUUGAGAUUCAACAGUGCCGUAGAUCCGUUUGGUCAUCAGGUGUUAUGAGCCAUACCCAUGUCUAGCUAGAGUAGUGUGCUAGGCUCAGGCUAGAGAAGAAACAGGGAACAAACUGAUGAAAGAAUGAUCAUACCGAGGGAAUUCACUCAGAACUAACAAGAAUGAUAACGUGCUCCGACUGGAGCGGUUUAGGAACUGCUGGAAGGCUCUAGGGGAAUAAAGAUGGAGUGACUUCUAAAUUUUUAGGUCCGUAUGAUUUAAAAUACUUGCACACAAACCGCACGAAAGCGUUCCUUGAAAUCUCAGCCCAAAAAAGGACGUUUAGUAAGUCUAAAAGGGACUAUAGGAUGAAAAACAAUAGUUUUGGCAGUUAAAGUUUGAGAUUCGAUGGUGCCGUAGAUCUGUUUGGUCAUCAGGUGUUACGAGCCACACCCAUGUCUAGUUGGAAUAGUGUGCUAGGCUCAGACUAGAGAAGAAACAGGGAACAAACUGAUGAAAGAAUGAUCAAACCGAGGAAAUUCACUCAGAACUAACAAUAAUGAUAACAUGCUCCGACUGGAGCGGUUUAGGAACUGCUGGAAGGCUCUAGGGGAAUAAAGAUGGAAUGACUUCUAAAUUUUUAGGUCCGUAUGAUUUGAAAUAGUUGCACACAAACUGCGCGAAAGCGUUCCUGGAAAUCUCAGCCCAAAAAAGGACGUUUAGUAAUUCUAAAAGGGACUAUAGGAUGAAAAACAAUAGUUUUGGCAGUUAAAGUUUGAGAUUCGACGGUGCCGUAGAUCCGUUUGGUCAUCACGUGUUACAAGCCACACCCAUGUCUAGCUAGAGUAGUGUGCUAGGCUCAGACUAUAGAAGAAACGGGGACCAAACUGAUGAAAGAAUGAUCAAACCGAGGAAAUUCACUCAGAACUAACAAUAAUGAUAACAUGCUCCGACUGGAGCGGUUUAGGAACUACUGGAAGGCUCUAGGGGAAUAAAGAUGGAAUGACUUCUAAAUUUUUAGGUCCGUAUGAUUUUAAAUAGUUGCACACAAACUGCGCGAAAGCGUUCCUGGAAAUCUCAGCCCAAAAAAGGACGUUUAGUAAUUCUAAAAGGGACUACAGGAUGAAAAACAAUAGUUUGGGCAGUUAAAAUUUGAGAUUCGACGGUGCCGUAGAUCCGUUUGGUCAUCAGGUGUUACGAGCCACACCCAUGUCUAGCUAGAGUAGUGUGCUAGGCUCAGGCUAGAGAAGAAACAGGGAACAAACUGAUGAAAGAAUGAUCAUACCGAGGGAAUUCACUCAGAACUAACAAGAAUGAUAACGUGCUCUGACUGGAGCGGUUUAAGAACUGUUGGAAGGCUCUAGGGGAAUAAAGAUGGAAUCACUUCAAAUUUUUACGUCCGUGUGAUUUGAAAUACUUGCACACAAACCGCACGAAAGCGUUCCUGGAAAUCUCAGCCCAAAAAAGGACGUUUAGUAAGUCUAAAAGGGACUACACGAUGAAAAACAAUAGUUUUGGCAGUUAAAGUUUGAGAUUCGACAGUGCCGUAGAUCCGUUUGGUCAUCAGGUGUAACGAGCCACACCCAUGUCUAGAUAGAGUAGUGUGCUAGGCUCAAACUAGAGAAGAAACGGGGAACAAACUGAUGAAAGAAUGAUCAUACCGAGGGAAUUCACUCAGAAAUAACAAGAAUGAUAACGUGCUCUGACUGGAGCGGUUUAGGAACUGCUGGAAGGCUCUAGGGGAAUAAAGAAGGAAUGACUUCUAAUUUUUAGGUCCGUAUGAUUUGAAAUACGUGCACACAAACCCCGAGAAAGCGUUCCUGGAAAUCUCGACCCAAAAAAGGACGUUUAGUAAUUCUAAAAGGGACUACGGGAUGAAAAACAAUAGUUUUGGCAGUUAAAGUUUGAGAUUCGAUAAUGCCGUAGAUCCAUUUGGUCAUCAGGUGUAACGAGCCACACCCAUGUCUAGCUAGAGUAGUGUGCUAGGCUCAGACUAGAGAAGAAACAGGGAACAAACUGAUGAAAGAAUGAUCAUAUCGAGGGAAUUCACUCAGAACUAACAAGAAUGAUAACAUGCUCCGACUUGAGCGGUUUAGGAACUGCUGGAAGGCUCUAGGGGAAUAAAGAUGGAAUGACUUCUAAUUUUUAGGUCCGUAUGAUUUGAAAUACUUACACACAAACCACGCGAAAGCGUUCCUGGAAAUCUCAGCCCAAAAAAGGACGUUUAGUAAUUCUAAAAGGGACUACAUGAUGAAAAACAAUAGUUUUCGCAGUUAAAGUUUGAGAUUCGACGGUGCCGUAGAUCCGUUUGGUCAUCAAGUGUUACGAGCCACACCCAUGUCUAGCUAGAAUAGUGUGUUAGGCUCAGCCUAGAGAAGAAACGGGGAACAAACUGAUGAAAGAAUGAUCAUACCGAGGGAAUUCACUCAGAACUUACAAGAAUGAUAACGUGCUCCGACUUGAGCGGUUUAAGAACUGUUGGAAGGCUCUAGGGGAAUAAAGAUGGAAUCACUUCAAAUUUUUACGUCCGUGUGAUUUGAAAUACUUGCACACAAACCCCGAGAAAGCGUUCCUGGAAAUCUCGGCCGAAAAAAGGAUGUUUAAUAAUUCUAAAAGGGACUACAGGAUGAAAAACAAUAGCUUUGGCAGUUAAAGUUUGUGAUUCGAUGGUGCCGUAGAUCUGUUUGGUCAUCAGGUGUUAUGAGCCACACCCAUGUCUAGCUAGAAUAGUGUGUUAGGCUCAGGCUAGAGCAGAAACUAGGAACAAACUUAUGAAAGAAUGAUCAUACCGAGGGAAUUCACUCAGAACUAACAAGAAUGAUAACGUGCUCCGACUGGAGCGGUUUAGGAACUGCUGGAAGGCUCUAGGGGAAUAAAGAUGGAAUGACUUCUAAUUUUUAGGUCCGUAUGAUUUGAAAUACAUGCACACAAACCCCAAGAAAGCGUUCCUAGAAAUCUCAGCCCAAAAAGGACGUUUAGUAAUUCUAAAAGGGACUACAGGAUGAAAAACAAUAGGUUUGGCAGUUAAAGUUUGAGAUUCGAUAAUGCCGUAGAUCCGUUUGGUCAUCAGGUGUAACGAGCCACACCCAUGUCUAGCUACAUUAGUGUGCUAGGCUCAGACUAGAGAAGAAACGGGGAACAAACUGAUGAAAGAAUGAUCAUACCGAGGGAAUUCACUCAGAACUAACAAGAACGAUAACAUGCUCCGACUGCAGCGGUUUAGGAACUGCUGGAAGGCUCUAGGGGAAUAAAGAAGGAAUGACUUCUAAUUUUUAGGUCCGUAUGAUUUGAAAUACUUGCACACAAACCGCGCGAAAGCAUUCCUGGAAAUCUCAGCCCAAAAAAGGACGUUUAGUAAUUCUAAAAGGGACUACAGGAUGAAAAACAAUAAUUUUGGCAGUUAAAGUUUGAGAUUCGACGGUGCCGUAGAUCCGUUUGGUCAUCAGGUGUUACGGGCCAUACCCAUGUCUAGCUAGAAUAGUGUGUUAGGCUCAGGUUAGAGAAGAAACGGGGAACAAAGUGAUGAAAGAAUGAUCAUACCGAGGGAAUUCACUCAGAACUAACAAGAAUGAUAACGUGCUCCGACUGGAGCGGUUUAGGAAUUGCUGGAAGGCUCUAGGGGAAUAAAGAUGGAAUGACUUCUAUAUUUUACGUCCGUAUGAUUUGAAAUACUUGCACACAAACCACGCAAAAGCACUCCUGGAAAUAUCAGCCUAAAAAGGAUGUUUAGUAAUUCUAAAAGGGACUACAGGAUGAAAAAUAAUAGUUUUGGCAGUUAAAAUUUGAGAUUCAACGGUGCCGUAAAUCCGUUUGGUCAUCAGGUGUUACGAGCCACACCCAUGUCUAGCUAGAAUAGUGUGUUAGGCUCAGGUUAGAGAAGAAACGGGGAACAAACUGAUGAAAGAAUGAUCAUACAAGGGGAAUUCACUCAGAACUAUCAAGAAUGAUAACGUGCUCCGACUGGAGCAGUUUAGGAACUGCCGGAAGGCUCUAGGGGAAUAAAGAUGGAAUGACUUCUAAUUUUUAUGUCCGUAUGAUUUGAAAUACUUGCACACAAACCACGCAAAAGCGUUCCUGGAAAUCUCAGCCUAAAAAGGACGUUUAGUAAUUCUAAAAGGGACUACAGGAUGAAAAACAAUAGUUUGGGCAGUUAAAAUUCGAGAUUCGACGGUGCCGUAGAUCCGUUUGGUCAUCAGGUGUUACGAGCCACACCCAUGUCUAGCUAGAAUAGUGUGUUAGGCUCAGGCUAGAGAAGAAACGGGGAACAAACUGAUGAAAGAAUGAUCAUAUCGAGGGAAUUCACUCAGAACUAACAAGAAUGAUAACGUGCUCCGACUGGAGCGGUUUAGUAACUGCUGGAAGGCUCUAGGGGAAUAAAGAUGGAAUGACUUCUAAUUAUUAGGUCCGUAAGAUUUGAAUUACAUGCACACAAACCCCGAGAAAGCGUUCCUGGAAAUCUCGGUCGAAAAAAGGAUGUUUAGUAAUUCUAAAAGGGACUACAGGAUGAAAAACAAUAGUUUUGGCAGUUAAAGUUUGUGAUUCGAUGGUGCCGUAGAUCUGUUUGGUCAUCAGGUGUUACGAGCCACACCCAUGUCUAGCUAGAAUAGUGUGUUAGGCUCAGGCUAGAGCAGAAACGGGGAACAAACUUAUGAAAGAAUGAUCAUGCCGAGGGAAUUCACUCAGAACUAACAAGAAUGAUAACGUGCUCCGACUGGAGCGGUUUAGGAACUGCUGGAAGGCUCUAGGGGAAUAAAGAUGGAAUGACAUCAAAUUUUUAGGUCCGUAUGAUUUGAAAUACUUGCACACAAACCGCAAGAAAGCGUUCUUGGAAAUCUCCGCCCAAAAAAGGACGUUUAGUAAUUCUAAAAGGGUCUACAGGAUGAAAAACAAUAGUUCUGGCAGUUAAAGUUUGAGAUUCGAUAAUGUCGUAGAUCCGUUUGGUCAUCAGGCGUAACGAGCCACACCCAUUUCUAGCUAGAGUAGUGUGCUAGGCUCAGACUAGAGAAGAAACGGGGAACAACCUGAUGAAAGAAUGAUCAUACCGAGGGAAUUCACUCAGAACUAACAAGAAUGAUAACGUGCUCCGACUGGAGCGGUUUAGGAACUGCUGGAAGGCUCUACGGGAAUAAAGAAGGAAUGACUUCUAAUUUUUAGGUCCGUAUGAUUUGAAAUACGUGCACACAAACCCCGAGAAAGCGUUCCUGGAAAUCUCGGCCCAAAAAAGGACGUUUAGUAUUCUAAAAGCGACUACAGAAUGAAAAACAAUAGUUUUGGUAGUUAAAGUUUGAGAUUUAACGGUGCCGUAGAUCUGUUUGGUCAUCAGGUGUUACGAGCCACACCCAUGUCUAGCUAGAAUAGUGUGUUAGGCUCAGGCUAGAUAAGAAACAGGGAACAAAGUGAUGAAAGAAUGAUCAUACCAAGGGAAUUCACUCAGAACUAACAAGAACGAUAACAUGCUCCGACUGGAGUGGUUUAGGAACUGCUGGAAGGCUCUAGGGGAAUAAAGAUGGAAUGACUUCUAAUUUUUAGGUCUGUAUGAUUUGAAAUACUUGCACACAAACCGCACGAAAGCGUUCCUGGAAAUCUCAUCCCAAAAAAGGACGUUUAGUAAUUCUAAAAGGGACUACAGGAUGAAAAACAAUAGUUUUGGCAGUUAAAGUUUGAGAUUCGAUAAUGCUGUAGAUCCGUUUGGUCAUCAGGUGUAACGAGCCACACCCAUGUCUAGCUAGAGUAGUGUGCUAGGCUCAGACUAGAGAAGAAACGGGGAACAAACUGAUGAAAGAAUGAUCAUACCGAGGGAAUUCACUCAGAACUAACAAUAAUGAUAACGUGCUCCGACUGGAGCGGUUUAGGAACUGCUGGAAGGCUCUAGGGGAAUAAAGAUGGAAUGAGUUCUAAUUUUUAGGUCUGUAUGAUUUGAAAUACUUGCACACAAACCGCGUGAAAGCAUUCCUGGAAAUUUCAGCCCAAAAAAGGACGUUUAGUAAUUUUAAAAGGGACUACACGAUGAAAAACAAUAGUUUUGGCAGUUAAAGUUUGAGAUUCGACGGUGCCGUAGAUCCGUUUGGUCAUCAGGUGUUACGAGCCACACCCAUGUCUAGCUAGAAUAGUAUGUUAGGCUCGGGUAAGAGAAGAAACGGGGAACAAACUGAUGAAAGAAUGAUCAUACCAAGGGAAUUCACUCAGAACUAACAAGAAUGAUAACGUGCUCCGACUGGAGCGGUUUAGGAACUGCUGGAAGGCUCUAGGGGAAUAAAGAUGGAAUGACUUCUAAUUUUUACGUUCGUAUGAUUUGAAAUACUUGCACACAAACCACGCAAAAGCGUUCCUGGAAAUCUCAUCCUAAAAAAGGACGUUUAGUAAUUCUAAAAGGGACUACAGGAUGAAAAAUAAUAGUUUGGGCAGUUAAAAUUUGAGAUUCGACGGUGCCGUAGAUCCGUUUGGUCAUCAGGUGUUACGAGCCACACCCAUGUCUAGCUAGAAUAGUGUGUUAGGCUCAGGCUAGAGAAGAAACGGGGAACAAACUGAUGAAAGAAUGAUCAUAUCGAGGGAAUUCACUCAGAACUAACAAGAAUGAUAACGUGCUCCGACUGGAGCAGUUUAGAAACUGCUGGAAGGCUCUAGGGGAAUAAAGAUGGAAUGACUUCUAAUUUUUAGGUCUGUAUGAUUUGAAAUACGUGCACACGAACCCCGAGAAAGCGUUCCUGGAAAUCUCGGCCCAAAAAAGGACGUUUAGUAAUUCUAAAAGGGACUACAGGAUGAAAAACAAUAGUUUUGGCAGUUAAAGUUUGAGAUUCGACGGUGCCGUAGAUCCGUUUGUUCAUCAGGUGUUACGAGCCACACCCAUGUCUAGCUAGAAUAGUGUGUUAGGCUCAGGCUAGAGAAGAAACGGGGAACAAACUGAUGAAAGAAUGAUCAUACCGAGGGAAUUCACUCAGAACUAACAAGAAUGAUAACGUGCUCCGACUGGAGCGGUUUAGGAACUGCUAGAAGGCUCUAGGGGAAUAAAGAAGGAAUGACUUCUAAUUUUUAGGUCCGUAUGAUUUGAAAUACGUGCACACAAACCCCGAGAAAGCGUUCCUGGAAAUCUUGGCCCAAAAAAGGACGUUUAGUAUUCUAAAAGCGACUACAGAAUGAAAAACAAUAGUUUUGCUAGUUAAAGUUUGAGAUUUGAUGGUGCCGUAGAUCUGUUUGGUCAUCAGGUUUUACGAGCCACACCCAUGUCUAGCUAGAAUAGUGUGUUAGGCUCAGGCUAGAAAAGAAACAGGGAAUAAAGUGAUGAAAGAAUGAUCAUACCAAGGGAAUUCACUCAGAACUAACAAGAACGAUAACAUGCUCCGACUGGAGUGGUUUAGAACUGCUGGAAGGCUAAAGGGGAAUAAAGAUGGAAUGACUUCUAAUUUUUAGGUCCGUAUGAUUUGAAAUACUUGCACACAAACCGCACGAAAGUGUUCCUGGAAAUCUCAGCCCAAAAAAGGACGUUUAGUAAUUCUAAAAGGGACUACAGGAUGAAAAACAAUAGUUUUGGCAGUUAAAGUUUGAGAUUCGAUAAUGACGUAGAUCCGUUUGGUCAUCAGGUGUAACGAGCCACACCCAUGUCUAGCUAGAGUAGUGUGCUAGGCUCAGACUAGAGAAGAAACGGGGAACAAACUGAUGAAAGAAUGAUCAUACCGAGGGAAUUCACUCAGAACUAACAAUAAUGAUAACGUGCUCCGACUAGAGCGGUUUAGGAACUGCUGGAAGGCUCUAGGGGAAUAAAGAUGGAAUGACUUCUAAUUUUUAGGUCCCUAUGAUUUGAAAUACUUGCACACAAACCGCGUGAAAGCAUUCCUGGAAAUUUCAGCCCAAAAAAGGACGUUUAGUAAUUUUAAAAGGGACUACACGAUGAAAAAGAAUAGUUUUGGCAGUUAAAGUUUGAGAUUCGACGGUGCCGUAGAUCCGUUUGGUCAUCAGGUGUUACGAGACACACCCAUGUCUAGCUAGAAUAGUAUGUUAGGCUCGGGUUAGAGAAGAAACGGGGAACAAACUGAUGAAAGAAUGAUCAUACCAAGGGAAUUCACUCAGAACUAACAAGAAUGAUAACGUGCUCCGACUGGAGCGGUUUAGGAACUGCUGGAAGGCUCUAGGGGAAUAAAGAUGGAAUGACUUCUAAUUUUUACGUUCGUAUGAUUUGAAAUACUUGCAAACAAACCACGCAAAAGCGUUCCUGGAAAUUUCAUCCUAAAAAAGGACGUUUAGUAAUUCUAAAAGGGACUACAGGAUGAAAAAUAAUAGUUUGGGCAGUUAAAAUUUGAGAUUCGAUGGUGCCGUAGAUCCGUUUGGUCAUCAGGUGUUACGAGCCACACCCAUGUCUAGCUAGAAUAGUGUGUUAGGCUCAGGCUAGAGAAGAAACGGGGAACAAACUGAUGAAAGAAUGAUCAUAUCGAGGGAAUUCACUCAGAACUAACAAGAAUGAUAACGUGCUCCGACUGGAGCAGUUUAGAAACUGCUGGAAGGCUCUAGGGGAAUAAAGAUGGAAUGACUUCUAAUUUUUAGGUCUGUAUGAUUUGAAAUACGUGCACACAAACCCCGAGAAAGCGUUCCUGGAAAUCUCGUCCGGAAAAAGGAUGUUUAAUAAUUCUAAAAGGGACUACAGGAUGAAAAACAAUAGUUUUGGCAGUUAAAGUUUGUGAUUCGAUGGUGCCGUAGAUCUGUUUGGUCAUCAGGUGUUACGGGCCACACCCAUGUCUAGCUAGAAUAGUGUGUUAGGCUCAGGCUAGAGCAGAAACGGGGAGCAAACUUAUGAAAGAAUGAUCAUAGCGAGGGAAUUUACUCAGAACUAACAAGAAUGAUAACGUGCUCCGACUGGAGCGGUUUAGGAACUGCUGGAAGGCUCUAGGGGAAUAAAGAUGGAAUGACUUCAAAUUUUCAGGUAUGUAUGAUCUGAAAUACUUGCACACAAACCGCGAGAAAGCGUUCCUGGAAAUCUCAACCCAAAAAAGGAUGUUUAGUAAUUCUAAAAGGGACUACAGGAUUAAAAACAAUAGUUUUGGCAGUUAAAGUUUGAGAUUCGAUAAUGUCGUAGAUCCGUUUGGUCAUCAGGUGUAACGAGCCACACCCAUGUCUAGCUAGAGUAGUGUGCUAGGCUCAUACUAGAGAAGAAACGGGGAACAAACUGAUGAAAGAAUGAUCAUACCGAGGGAAUUCACUCAGAACUAACAAGAAUGAUAACGUGCUCCGACUGGAGCGGUUUAGGAACUGCUGGAAGGCUCUAGGGGAAUAAAGAUGGAAUGACUUCUUAUUUUUAGGUCCGUAUGAUUUGAAAUACAUGCACACAAACCCCAAGAAAGCGUUCCGGGAAAUCUCGGCCCAAAGAAUGAUGUUUAGUAAUUCUAAAAGGGACUAUAGAAUGAAAAACAAUAGUUUUGGCAGUUAAAGUUUGAGAUUUGACGGUGUCGUAGAUCUGUUUGGUCAUCAGGUGUUACGAGCCACACCCAUUUCUAGCUAGAAUAGUGUGUUAGGCUCAGGCUAGAAAAGAAACGGGGAACAAAGUGAUGAAAGAAUGAUCAUACCGAGGGAAUUCACUCAGAACUAACAAGAAUGAUAACAUGCUCCGACUAGAGCGGUUUAGGAACUGCUGGAAGGCUCUAGGGGAAUAAAUAUGGAAUGACUUCUAAUUUUCAGGUCCGUAUGAUUUGAAAUACUUGCACACAAACCGCGCGAAAGCGUUCCUGGAAAUCUCAUCCCAAAGAAGGUCGUUUAGUAAUUCUAAAAGGGACUACAGGAUGAAAAACAAUAGUUUUGGCAAUUUAAGGUUUGAGAUUCGACGGUGCCGUAGAUCCGUUUGGUCAUCAGGUGUUACGAGCCACACCCAUGUCUAGCUAGAAUAGUGUGCUAGGCUCAGGCUAGAGAAGAAACAGGGAACAAACUGAUGAAAGAAUGAUCAAACCGAGGGAAUUCACUCAGAACUAACAAUAAUGAUAACGUUCUCCGUCUGGAGCGGUUUAGGAACUGCUGGAAGGCUCUAGGGGAAUAAAGAUGGAAUGACUUCUAAUUUUUAGGUCCGUAUGAUUUGAAAUACUUGCACACAAACCGCGCCAAAUCGUUCCUGGAAAUCUCAGCCCAAAAAAGGACGUUUAGUAAUUCUAAAAGGGACUACAGGAUGAAAAACAAUAGUUUUGGCAGUUAAAGUUUGAGAUUCGAUGGUGCCGUAGACCCGUUUGGUCAUCAGGUGUUACGAGCCACACCCAUGUCUAGCUAGAGUAGUGUGCUAGGUUCAGACUAGAGAAGAAACAGGGAACAAAGUGAUGAAAGAAUGAUCAUACCGAGGGAAUUCACUCAGAACUAACAAGAAUGAUAACGUGCUCCGACUGGAGCGGUUUAGGAACUGCUGGAAGGCUCUAGGGGAAUAAAGAUGGAAUGACUUCUAAUUUUUACGUCCGUAUGAUUUGAAAUACUUGCACACAAACCACGCAAAAGCGUUCCUGGAAAUCUCAGCCUAAAAAAGGACGUUUAGUAAUUCAAAAAGGGACUACAAAAUGAAAAACAAUAGUUUUGGCAGUUAAAGUUUGAGAUUCGAUGGUGCCGUAGAUCCGUUUGGUCAUCAGGUGUUACGAGCCACACCCAUGUCUAGCUAGGAUAGUGUGUUAGGCUCAGGCUAGAGAAGAAACGGGGAACAAACUGAUGAAAGAAUGAUCAUACCGAGGGAAUUCACUCAGAACUAACAAGGAUGAUAACAUGCUCCGACUAGAGCGGUUUAGGAACUGCUGGAAGGCUCUAGGGGAAUAAAGAUGGAAUGACUUCUAAUUUUUAGGUCCGUAUGAUUUGAAAUACUUGCACACAAACCGCAAGAAAGCGUUCCUGGAAAUCUCAGCCCAAAAAAGGACGUUUAGUAAUUCUAAAAGGGACUACAGGAUGAAAAACAAUAGUUCUGGCAGUUAAAGUUUGAGAUUCGAUAAUGCCGUAGAUCUGUUUGGUCAUCAGGUGUAACGAGCCACACCCAUGUCUAGCUAGAGUAGUGUGCUAGGCUCAGACUAGAGAAGAAACGGGGAACAAACUGAUGAAAGAAUGAUUAUACCGAGGGAAUUCACUCAGAACUAACGAGAAUGAUAACGUGCUCCGACUGGAGCGGUUUAGGAACUGCUGGAAGGCUCUAGGGGAAUAAAGAUGGAAUGACUUCAAAUUUUUAGGUCUGUAUGAUUUGAAAUACUUGCACACAAACCGCAAGAAAGCGUUCCUUGAAAUCUCAGCCCAAAAAAGGACGUUUAGUAAUUCUAAAAGGGACUACAGGAUGAAAAACAAUAGUUCUGGCAGUUAAAGUUUGAGAUUCGAUAAUGUCGUAGAUCCGUUUGGUCAUCAGGUGUAACGAGCCACACCCAUGUCUAGCUAGAGUAGUGUGCUAGGCUCAGAAUAGAGAAGAAACGGGGAACAAACUGAUGAAAGAAUGAUCAUACCGAGGGAAUUCACUCAGAACUAACAAGAAUGAUAACGUGCUCCGACUGGAGCGGUUUAGGAACUGCUGGAAGGCUCUAGGGGAAUAAAGAAGGAAUGACUUCUAAUUUUUAGGUCCGUAUGAUUUGAAAUACGUGCACACAAACCGCGCGAAAGCGUUCCUGGAAAUCUCAGCCAAAAAAAGGACGUUUAGUAUUCUAAAAGGGACUACAGAAUGAAAAACAAUAGUUUUGGCAGUUAAAGUUUGAGAUUCGACGGUGCUGUAGAUCCGUUUGGUCAUCAGGUGUUACGAGCCACACCCAUGUCUAGCUAGAAUAGUGUGCUAGGCUCAGGCUAGAGAAGAAAAGGGGAACAAACUAAUGAAAGAAUGAUCAAUCCGAGGGAAUUCACUCAGAACUAACAAUAAUGAUAACGUGCUCCGACUGGAGCGGUUUAGGAACUGCUGGAAGGCUCUAGGCGAAUAAAGAUGGAAUGACUUCUAAUUUUUACGUCCGUAUGAUUUGAAAUACUUGCACACAAACCACGCAAAAGCGUUCCUGGAAGUCUCGGCCUAAAAAGGACGUUUAGUAAUUCUAAAAGGGACUACAGGAUGAAAAAUAAUAGUUUGGGCAGUUAAAAUUUGAGAUUCGACGGUGCCGUAGAUCCAUUUGGUCAUCAAGUGUUACGAGCCACACCCAUGUCUAGCUAGAAUAGUGUGUUAGGCUCAGGCUAGAGAAGAAACGGGGAACAAACUGAUGAAAGAAUGAUCAUACCAAGGGAAUUCACUCAGAACUAACAAGAAUGAUAACGUGCUCCGACUGGAGCAGUUUAGAAACUGCUGGAAGGCUCUUGGGGAAUAAAGAUGGAAUGACUUCAAAUUUUUAGGUCCGUAUGAUUUGAAAUACUUGCACACAAACCACGCGAAAGCGUUCCUGGAAAUCUCAGCCCAAAAAAGGACGUUUAGUAAUUCUAAAAGGGACUACAUGAUGAAAAACAAUAGUUUUGGCAGUUAAAGUUUGAGAAUCGUCGGUGCCGUAGAUCCGUUUGGUCAUCAGCUGUAACGAGCCACACCCAUGUCUAGCUAGAGUAGUGUGCUAGGCUCAGACUAGAGAAGAAACAGGGAACAAAGUGAUGAAAGAAUGAUCAUACCGAGGGAAUUCACUUAGAACUAACAAGAAUGAUAACAUGCUCCGACUUGAGCGAUUUAGGAACUUCUGGAAGGCUCUAGGGGAAUAAAGAUGGAAUGACUCAAAUUUUUAGGCCCGUAUGAUUUGAAAUACAUGCACACAAACCGCGAGAAAGUGUUCCUGGAAAUCUUAGCCCAAAAAAGGACGUUUAGUAAUUCUAAAAGGGACUACAGGAUGAAAAACAAUAGUUUUGGUAGUUAAAGUUUCAGAUUCGAUAAUGCCCUAGAUCCGUUUGGUCAUCAGGUGUAACGAGCCACACCAAUGUCUAGCUAGAGUAGUGUGCUAGGCUCAGACUAGAUAAGAAACGGGGAAGAAACUGAUGAAAGAAUGAUCAGACCGAGGGAAUUCACUCAGAACUAACAAUAAUGAUAACGUGCUCCGAGUGGAGCGGUUUAGGAACUGCUGGAAGGCUCUAGGGGAAUAAAGAUGGAAUGACUUCUAAUUUUUAGGUCCGUAUGAUUUGAAAUACGUGCACACAAACCCCGAGAAACCGUUCCUUGAAAUCUCGGCCCAAAAAAGGACGUUUAGUAAUUCUAAAAGGGACUACAAAAUGAAAAACAAUAGUUUUGGCAGUUAAAGUUUGAGAUUCGACGGUGUCGUAGACCCGUUUGGUCUUCAGGUGUUACGAGCCACACCCAUGUCUAGCCAGAGUAGUGUGCUAGGUUCAGACUAGAGAAGAAACGGGGAACAAAGUGAUGAAAGAAUGAUCAUACCGAGGGAAUUCACUCAGAACUAACAAGAAUGAUAACGUGCUCCGACUGGAGCGGGUUAGGAACUCCUGGAAGGCUCUAGGGGAAUAAAGAUGGAAUGACUUCUAAUUUUUACGUCCGUAUGAUUUGAAAUACUUGCACACAAACCACGCAAAAGCGUUCCUGGAAAUCUCAGCCUAAAAAAGGACGUUUAGUAAUUCUAAAAGGGACUACAGGAUGAAAAAUAAUAGUUUGGUCAUCAGGUGUUACGAGCCACACCCAUGUCUAGCUAGAAUAGUGUGCUAGGCUCAGGCUAGAGAAGAAACGGGGAAUAAACUGAUGAAAGAAUGAUCAAACCGAGGGAAUUCACUCAGAACUAACAAUAAUGAUAACGUUCUCCGUCUGGAGCGGUUUAGGAACUGCUGGAAGGCUCUAGGGGAAUAAAGAUGGAAUGACUUCUAAUUUUUAGGUCCGUAUGAUACGAAAUACUUGCACACAAACCGCGCGAAAUCGUUCCUGGAAAUCUCAGCCCAAAAAAGGACGUUUAGUAAUUCUAAAAGGGACUACAGCAUGAAAAACAAUAGUUCUGGCAGUUAAAGUUUGAGAUUCGAUAAUGCCGUAGAUCCGUUUGGUCAUCAGGUGUAACGAGCCACACCCAUGUCUAGCUAGAGUAGUAUGCUAGGCUCAGACUAGAGAAGAAACGGGGAACAAACUGAUGAAAGAAUGAUUAUACCGAGGGAAUUCACUCAGAACUAACAAGAAUGAUAACGUGCUCCGGCUGGAGCGGUUUAGGAACUGCUAGAAGGCUCUAGGGGAAUAAAGAUGGAAUGACUUCAAAUUUUUAGGUCUGUAUGAUUUGAAAUACUUGCACACAAACCGCAAGAAAGCGUUCCUGGAAAUCUCAGCCCAAAAAAGGACGUUUAGUAAUUCUAAAAGGGACUAUAGGAUGAAAAACAAUAGUUCUGGUAGUUAAAGUUUGAGAUUCGAUAAUGUCAUAGAUCCGUUCGGUCAUCAGGUGUAACGAGCCACACCCAUGUCUAGCUAGAGUAGUGUGCUAGGCUCAGACUAGAGAAGAAACGGGGAACAAACUGAUGAAAGAAUGAUCAUACCGAGGGAAUUCACUCAGAACUAACAAGAAUGAUAACGUGCUCCGACUGGAGCGGUUUAGGAACUGCUGGAAGGCUCUAGGGGAAGAAAGAAGGAAUGACUUCUAAUUUUUAGGUCCGUAUGAUUUGAAAUACGUGCACACAAACCGCGCGAAAGCGUUCCUGGAAAUCUCAGCCCAAAAAAGGACGUUUAGUAUUCUAAAAGGGACUACAGAAUGAAAAACAAUAGUUUUGGCAGUUAAAGUUUGAGAUUCGACGGUGCCGUAGAUCCGUUUGGUCAUCAGGUGUUACGAGCCACACCCAUGUCUAGCUAGAAUAGUGUGCUAGGCUCAGGCUAGAGAAGAAAAGGGGAACAAACUGAUGAAAGAAUGAUCAAACCGAGGGAAUUCACUCAGAACUAACAAUAAUGAUAACGUGCUCCGACUGGAGCGGUUUAGGAACUGCUGGAAGGCUCUUGGCGAAUAAAGAUGGAAUGACUUCUAAUUUUUACGUCCGUAUGAUUUGAAAUACUUCCACACAAACCAGGCAAAGGCGUUCCUGGAAAUCUCGGCCUAAAAAGGACGUUUAGUAAUUCUAAAAGGGACUACAGGAUGAAAAAUAAUAGUUUGGGCAGUUAAAAUUUUAGAUUCGACGGUGCCGUAGAUCCGUUUGGUCAUCAGGUGUUACGAGCCACACCCAUGUCUAGCUAGAAUAGUGUGUUAGGCUCAGGCUAGAGAAGAAACGGGGAACAAACUGAUGAAAGAAUGAUCAUACCAAGGGAAUUCACUCAGAACUAACAAGAAUGAUAACGUGCUCCGACUGGAGCAGUUUAGAAACUACUGGAAGGCUCUAGGGGAAUAAAGAUGGAAUGACUUCAAAUUUUUAGGUCCGUAUGAUUUGAAAUACUUGCACACAAACCGCGCGAAAGCGUUCCUGGAAAUCUCAGCCCAAAAAAGGACGUUUAGUAAUUCUAAAAGGGACUACAUGAUGAAAAACAAUAGUUUUGGCAGUUAAAGUUUGAGAUUCGUCGGUGCCGUAGAUCCGUUUGGUCAUCAGCUGUAACGAGCCACACCCAUUUCUAGCUAGAGUAGUGUGCUAGGCUCAGACUAAAGAAGAAAUGGGGAACAAAGUGAUGAAAGAAUGCUCAUACCGAGGGAAUUCACUCAGAACUAACAAGAAUGAUAACAUGCUCCGACUUGAGCGAUUUAGGAACUUCUGGAAGGCUCUAGGGGAAUAAAGAUGGAAUGACUCAAAUUUUUAGGUCCGUAUGAUUUGAAAUACUUGCACACAAACCGCGAGAAAGCGUUCCUGGAAAUCUCAGCCCAAAAAAGGACGUUUAGUAAUUCUAAAAGGGACUACAUGAUGAAAAACAAUAGUUUUGGCAGUUAAAGUUUGAGAUUUGAUAAUGCCGUAGAUCCGUUUGGUCAUCAGGUGUAACGAGCCACACCCAUGUCUAGCUAGAGUAGUGUGCUAGGCUAAGACUAGAUAAGAAAAGGGGAAGAAACUUAUGAAAGAAUGAUCAGACCGAGGGAAUUCACUCAGAACUAACAAUAAUGAUAACGUGCUCCGACUGGAGCGGUUUAGGAACUGCUGGAAGGCUCUAGGGGAAUAAAGAUGGAAUGACUUCUAAUUUUUAGGUCCGUAUGAUUUGAAAUACGUGCACACAAACCCCGAGAAACCGUUCCUGGAAAUCUCGGCCCAAAAAAGGAUGUUUAGUAAUUCUAAAAGGGACUACAAAAUGAAAAACAAUAGUUUUGGCAGUUAAAGUUUGAGAUUUGAUGGUGCCGUAGAUCUGUUUGGUCAUCAGGUGUUACGAGCCACACCCAUGUCUAGCUAGAAUAGUGUGUUAGGCUCAGGCUAGAAAAGAAACGGGAAACAAAGUGAUGAAAGAAUGAUCAUACCGAGGGAAUUCACUCAGAACUAACAAGAAUGAUAACAUGCUCUGACUGGAGCGGUUUAGGAACUGCUGGAAGGCUCUAGGGGAAUAAAGAUGGAAUGACUUCUAAUGUUUAGGUCCGUAUGAUUUGAAAUACUUGCACAUAAACCGCGCAAAAGCGUUCCUGGAAAUCUCAGCCCAAAAAAGGACGUUUAGUAAUUCUAAAAGGGACUACAGGAUGAAAAACAAUAGUUUUGGCAGUUAAAGUUUGAGAUUCGACGGUGCCGUAGAUCCGUUUGUUCAUCAGGUGUUACGAGCCACACCCAUGUCUAGCUAGAAUAGUGUGUUAGGCUCAGGCUAGAGAAGAAACGGGGAACAAACUGAUGAAAGAAUGAUCAAACCGAGGG